UACGGGGGGGGGCAAGCGUUGUUCGGAAUUACUGGGCGUAAAGGGCUCGUAGGCGGCCAACUAAGUCAGACGUGAAAUCCCUCGGCUUAACCGGGGAACUGCGUCUGAUACUGGAUGGCUUGAGCGUGGGAGAGGAAUGCGGAAUUCCAGGUGUAGCGGUGAAAUGCGUAGAUAUCUGGAGGAACACCGGUGGCGAAGGCGGCAUUCUGGACCAUUACGUGACGCUGAGGAGCGAAAGCCAGGGGAGCAAACGGG
rnacentral:rRNA from 1 species